AGGGGUAUAGCUCACUGGUAGAAAUGUGUGCCUAGCAUGCACAAGAUCCUGAGUUCAAUCCCCAGUACCUCUG
rnacentral:tRNA from 1 species